AACUGCACAUACGUGGAGAGCAGAUAAUUGAAAUGACACAAUCAUUUGCAGAAUUCAUUUUCACAAGAGUGCAAUACGUCAAGAAGAAAUUAAACUUACACUUCAGGUCAAUAACUAAACCGUAAGUAUUACCACCUCAGAUGAUUUUUAUUUUGUUUAUUUUUAAAGUAUUUUGAUUUGAUAUUCUAAACUUGGUUCUUGCCAAACACUGAAGAGAGUUUUGCAAUUCUCCAAAGUGAGAGGGAAGGGAGGAAGAAAACAAAGAAACCUGAAUGAUUCUGGUCAUUUUGCAGAUGCUUCCAAGCCAGAGAAUUGGCCGAGGAGAGGGAAAACAAAGAUAGUUAUCACGGUAGCUUAUGGCACAGAAUCCCAAAAAAACAAUUCUUUGGCAGUACAUGCAAUAAAUUGGUUCCAGAUUAUAACAGCUUAUUUCUUGAUGCCAUCUAAGUACUUUUUUUUUUCUCUUUUUUCCCUACCAUACCAUUAGUCUGUUAAAUACACUGAGUCUCAUUUUAUAAUGAUAAUUAAAAAAAACAACAGCCUCUAGAAUUACCU
rnacentral:lncRNA from 1 species